UACGAAGGGGGCUAGCGUUGCUCGGAAUUACUGGGCGUAAAGCGCACGUAGGCGGCUUCUUAAGUCGGUGGUGAAAUCCUGGAGCUCAACUCCAGAACUGCCUUCGAUACUGGCUAUCUUGAGUACGGGAGAGGUGUGUGGAACUCCGAGUGUAGAGGUGAAAUUCGUAGAUAUUCGGAAGAACACCAGUGGCGAAGGCGACACACUGGCCCGUUACUGACGCUGAGGCGCGAAAGCGUGGGGGAGCAAACA
rnacentral:rRNA from 1 species